CUUUACUUUUAAAAUGAUCUGUCAUGUCAAAUUGUUUCAGAAUUCAUUACUUCUUACUAUGUUGGUGCCCUUGUUUUCAUCUUUAUGGCCAAGCAAUCAAAAAAUGAAUUUCAAUCCAUCAAUCCCACAGGCAAGAACAAAAUCAAUAACAAAUCUAAUAAGUCAUAACAAAUUCAAAAGAAAAUAUCUCAACAAAAUCACCAACGCAACAUACAAAUGCACAACACAAAUUGAUUCUAAUAACCUGAAAACCCAC
rnacentral:misc_RNA from 1 species